rnacentral:rRNA from 1 species
AGUGAACGCUGGCGGUAGGCCUAACACAUGCAAGUCGAACGGCAGCACAGUAAGAGCUUGUUCUUACGGGUGGCGAGUGGCGGACGGGUGAGGAAUACAUCGGAAUCUACUUUUUCGUGGGGGAUAACGUAGGGAAACUUACGCUACUACCGCAUACGACCUACGGGUGAAAGCAGGGGAUCUUCGGACCUUGCGCGAUUGAAUGAGCCGAUGUCGGAUUAGCUAGUUGGCGGGGUAAAGGCCCACCAAGGCGACGAUCCGUAGCUGGUCUGAGAGGAUGAUCAGCCACACUGGAACUGAGACACGGUCCAGACUCCUACGGGAGGCAGCAGUGGGGAAUAUUGGACAAUGGGCGCAAGCCUGAUCCAGCCAUACCGCGUGGGUGAAGAAGGCCUUCGGGUUGUAAAGCCCUUUUGUUGGGAAAGAAAAGCAGCAGGUUAAUACCCCGCUGUUCUGACGGUACCCAAAGAAUAAGCACCGGCUAACUUCGUG